GUGGCUAUAAAUAGGUUGGGGUGCUGGGUAUCCGAGGAAUCGAAGAGGGGUUUCCAAUUUCUCUCUUGUUGCUCUCCUUUCUUUCUUACAACCUAUCUUAGUUUUAGGACAAGGCUUUGGGAUUUAAGACAAAACCUUAUCUGAUCCUAACAAGGGUUGUAAGGGUUUUAAAGAAGAAGAAUCAAAAAUUCAGAGGAGAUUCUAAGAGGGUGAGGUCAGGUUCUUGAAGAAACUUGACCGGUACAAGGCUA
rnacentral:lncRNA from 1 species